rnacentral:lncRNA from 1 species
UUGCACUUAAAAACUUAACAUUUAUUGAAUGAACAAAUGAUACAGUAGCAGCACAUUCACACACGACAAUGUACACAUAUACCUUAGAGCCAAAAAAUGUCAUAAAAAGUGGAAACAAGCCCUGCUAAGAACACCCCAAGCAGCAUGUGACUGAUGUCAGAAAAGCAGACAGAAGGAGGAGAUGGAAUAAAAGGAAUCCAGCUGGGACAGGGUUUGGGAUGGGGCAUUCAGUUACCCUUUGCAACUGGAGACAGCUUUUCAAAACACAAAUCUAGGGAGUUCUCGUCGUGGCUCAGUGGUUAACAGCUCCGACUAAGAACCAUGAGGAACUCUGGGAAUUCUGAUAUUAUUUGUUCACACUGAGGCAUAGACAACUGAGUCUCUUUUAUGCUGCAUAAAAUAGAUGCUUCCUAAGGGAAAAAGAAAGCAAACCCGUAUUUAUUGGGCAAUAGGCACUCAGUUUCACUUGUAAUGUCUCAUCCAUUCCCAACAGCCACAUGAAAGGGCCUGUUAAGAAAGCAAAGCUCAGAGACAUUACGUAAUCUGACAGUCUCAAUGUUGGCUAUGGUGAAACCAACAUCCAUAGAACUCCACAACUUAUGCUCUUUCUCAGCACACUGCUUUUCCUUCUUAAAUCAAAAUAAAAUCCUUAUCAGUAAAAUGUUGGCAGAAUGAAAGGACAAUGUCUGGGUGGGAAAUGCUGCUUUACUAUUUCCUGCUGGAAAUGUAGGAGGCUCUUAUCUGCGAACUUCAGUAAUUCUAUGACCCACUCACUCUGGAAAAGCUUCCCUAAACCCUCAUCCCAACCACCACUCAACAUACAGUGCUCAAUUUACAAAGCAUUUUCACAUAUAUUGUCCCAUCCACCCUGCAAGGAAGGCAGUAGUAGUAUAACCACCUUUAAAGAUGAGGGGACUGAAGCACAGAGACAAAUGUCACCCAGCCUGUAAAAAGGACAUCUAAGAUUUACACACAGGUUCAUGCCCCUGAACCCUGCGUCCUUUCCACUUAGCAGCACAGUGUCCUUCCCAGAUACCCUCCUGCCCUAUUCCCUUUGUUCUUAUGGGGAUCAGGUGUAACCCAGAGCCUAGGUCUCUGCUUCUGCUCCUCCAGACCCCACCUGAGCAAAAGCAUCUCUGUGCUCAGCCCUGCCUUCCACAGACUUCCAGUCUCUUCCACAAGCUGGUGAUCUUUUCCAUUUUGCACCCUCCACCCCCACAGAAGUCAUCUCUUCUGUGAUUCCACUUCAAGCAUCAUUAUCUUGAGAGAGUAGGACCAAAAAAGCCCAGCUCUCCAAGCAGUAGAUACUGGGUCUUCAUAACAAACCAUUUCCUGAGUGCGCCCACUGAAUUUGGUGCUUUAGAAUCAUCACAAGUACUCAUUAAAAACGAAAAAAAAAAAAAAAAAAGAGAGAGAGAGAAACCAAAUUCUCAUAGCAGUGCUGCAAGCCAUGUGCCAUUUUCCACCCAACAUGGUGAGUGGCAGAGACCUAGGGACUAAAUUUAGGAUAUGAGGUUACAGUUAGAAAGUGGCCAAUAGGAAUUCAAACCCAGGAAUCACACUUAUACUUCCAUUCUUGCCAAGACAUCAUAUAAACCCUUGUAGGAACAAUGACCACACUGAUUGUAAAGUGGGUGCGGUUUUGCUCAAACAUAAUCAAAAGCUCAAUUCAAAAACAUGGAGGGAAGCUUUGCAAGCCUAUGGUCCUGCUGCCUCUAGACUAGCACGAUAGCUCUUUGCUCCUCUCAUCUCCUGUGUUUCUGCUUACUGCAACCCCUUCACGACUGCUGUACCAUCAGCUC